UGUGUCAACUGAAAUCUUGCGUGUGGACAGAGAGUAAGGACAAAUAGGAGCAAUACUAUCCAGGAUAUUUUUAAAUUCAGCAUAAAUUCUACUGUAACUAGUAUUUUUGGCUACAAAGGAGUUUGACAGAAGCGACGCAGAUGGUAGUCCAUGAGCGAACGUUUUGGCCAACUCCUUCGCUGUAGCGAAUUUAAUCCUAUAAGCUGGAGGAAGUUCAGCUGCAAGAUUAUAAAUAAUAUUAAUUGGAGUCGAUUUAAUAAGUCCUAAGGCCUUUCUAAGGUGGAAAUUAGCAUGCUUAUUUAUAUUGUUUUGUACUGAUUUUGAUAUGUUUGAAAAAGAGGAGCAGGCGUAUUCAUAUCUAGUUCUAAUAAAUGCUUUAUAAAAGAGUAGUGACUUGCUUGGAUGUACUCCGAAGCGGCAACCACUGAGCAUUUGAAUAAACAUAUUCGUUUGAUUCGAUUUAGAGAUCGUUUUAUUUACAUGCUGAACAGACGAGUUGUUUGAACUUAUGACUCUACCUAAAUAAUUUAUACUAUUUACAUUUUUUAAAAUAAUAUUAUUGCACAAGAUACUUAAAGGUUUUUUUCUUAGAUUAAAAUGAAUGGUGGCUGAUUUGUCUGGAUUAAAACCAUCGAAAAGACUUUGUCAUAACAGACUAGAAAGAAGUCGUCAGCGUACUGGAACAGAAUACUGUCAUGGUCAUUACUUAAGCUGUGAAGCUCAGCUGUAUAUAAAUUAAAGAGGAUUGGACUCAGACAACUACCUUGACUAACUCCUUUGUUUACAGUUAUCUCUGCAGUACCCAUAGUGAGAACUCUUUUACUAAGGAAGUUUAUAAUGAAAUAAAUAUGAUUGUGGUCGAAA